AGAGUUUGAUCCUGGCUCAGGAUGAACGCUGGCGGUCUGCUUAACACAUGCAAGUCGAACGGGAUCCUUCGGGAUUUAGUGGCGGACGGGUGAGUAACGCGUGAGAAUCUGCCCUUAGGUUGGGGACAACAGUUGGAAACGACUGCUAAUACCCAAUGUGCCGAGAGGUGAAAGGUUAACUGCCUGGGGAUGAGCUCGCGUCUGAUUAGCUAGUUGGAGUGGUAACGGCACACCAAGGCGACGAUCAGUAGCUGGUCUGAGAGGAUGAUCAGCCACACUGGGACUGAGACACGGCCCAGACUCCUACGGGAGGCAGCAGUGGGGAAUUUUCCGCAAUGGGCGAAAGCCUGACGGAGCAAGACCGCGUGAGGGAGGAAGGCCUAUUGGUUGUAAACCUCUUUUGAUAGGGAAGAACACAAUGACGGUACCUAUCGAAUCAGCAUCGGCUAACUCCGUGCCAGCAGCCGCGGUAAUACGGAGGAUGCAAGCGUUAUCCGGAUUUAUUGGGCGUAAAGCGUCCGUAGGUGGCAAACCAAGUCAGUUGUUAAAGCGUAGAGCUUAACUCUAUAAGGGCAAUUGAAACUGGUUAGCUAGAGUGCGAUAGGGGCAAGGGGAAUUCCCAGUGUAGCGGUGAAAUGCGUAGAUAUUGGGAAGAACAUCGGUGGCGAAGGCGCCUUGCUGGGUCUGCACUGACACUGAGGGACGAAAGCUAGGGGAGCGAAAGGGAUUAGAUACCCCUGU
rnacentral:rRNA from 1 species